GGUGGUGUAGCUCAGUCCUAGAGCACUUGCCUAGCACACAUGAAGCCCUGGGUUCAAUCCCUAGCACUGCAA
rnacentral:tRNA from 1 species